rnacentral:rRNA from 1 species
UGGGCGGAUCAGUGGCGAACGGGUGAGUAACACGUGAGUAACCUGCCCCAGACUCCGGGAUAAGCCUUGGAAACGAGGUCUAAUACUGGAUACGAGACGCCCCUGCAUGGGGAGUGUCUGGAAAGAUUUAUCGGUCUGGGAUGGACUCGCGGCCUAUCAGCUUGUUGGUGGGGUAAUGGCCUACCAAGGCGACGACGGGUAGCCGGCCUGAGAGGGCGACCGGCCACACUGGGACUGAGACUCGGCCCAGACUCCUACGGGAGGCAGCAGUGGGGAAUAUUGCACAAUGGGCGAAAGCCUGAUGCAGCGACGCCGCGUGAGGGAUGAAGGCCUUCGGGUUGUAAACCUCUUUCAGCAGGGAAGAAGCGCAAGUGACGGUACCUGCAGAAGAAGCGCCGGCUAACUACGUGCCAGCAGCCGCGGUAAUACGUAGGGCGCAAGCGUUGUCCGGAAUUAUUGGGCGUAAAGAGCUCGUAGGCGGUUUGUCGCGUCUGGUGUGAAAACUCAAGGCUCAACCUUGAGCUUGCAUCGGGUACGGGCAGACUAGAGUGCGGUAGGGGUGACUGGAAUUCCUGGUGUAGCGGUGGAAUGCGCAGAUAUCAUGAGGAACACCGAUGGCGAAAGCAUGUCACUGGGCCGCAACUGACGCUGAGGAGCGAAAGCAUGCGGAGCGAACAGGAUUAGAUACCCUGGUAG